rnacentral:rRNA from 1 species
AUUGAACGCUGGCGGAAUGCUUUACACAUGCAAGUCGAGCGGCAGCGCGGGGGCAACCCUGGCGGCGAGCGGCGAACGGGUGAGUAAUGUAUCGGAACGUACCCUGUCGUGGGGGAUAACACAGCGAAAGCUGUGCUAAUACCGCAUACGACCUGAGGGUGAAAGCGGGGGAUCGCAAGACCUCGCGCGAUAGGAGCGGCCGAUAUCGGAUUAGCUUGUUGGUGAGGUAAAGGCUCACCAAGGCGACGAUCCGUAGCUGGUCUGAGAGGACGACCAGCCACACUGGGACUGAGACACGGUCCAGACUCCUACGGGAGGCAGCAGUGGGGAAUUUUGGACAAUGGGGGCAACCCUGAUCCAGCCAUUCCGCGUGAGUGAAGAAGGCCUCGGGUUGUAAGCUUUUCUAGCAGGAACGAAACGGUAGGCGUACUAAUACUAGCUACUAAUGACGGUACCUGAAGAAGAAGACACCGGCUAACUACGUGCAGCAGCCGCGGUAA